GACAGAGGGUGCAAACGUUGUUCGGAAUUAUUGGGCGUAAAGAGCGCGUAGGCGGUCCGAUAAGUCGGCUGUGAAAGUCAGGGGCUCAACCCUUGAAAGCCGGCCGAUACUGUCGGACUAGAGUCCGGAAGAGGCAAGUGGAAUUCCCGGUGUAGCGGUGAAAUGCGCAGAUAUCGGGAGGAACACCAAUGGCGAAGGCAGCUUGCUGGGACGGUACUGACGCUGAGGCGCGAAAGCGUGGGGAGCGAACAGG
rnacentral:rRNA from 1 species